rnacentral:rRNA from 1 species
UACGGGGGGGGCAAGCGUUGUUCGGAAUUACUGGGCGUAAAGCGCACGUAGGCGGACGUGUCAGUCAGGGGUGAAAUCCCGGAGCUCAACUUCGGAACUGCCUUUGAUACAGCACGUCUUGAGUCCGGAAGAGGUGGGUGGAAUUCCAGGUGUAGCGGUGAAAUGCGUAGAUAUCGGGAGGAACACCAGUGGCGAAGGCGACUACCUGGCCUGUUCUUGACGCUGAGGCGCGAAAGCUAGGGGAGCAAACGGG